CUGCACUGCCCCCAGCGGUCAGUCUGUGUCGGUUCCCUAUGGGAGGUGUAUGCACUGCCCCCAGCGGUCAGUCUGUGUCGGUUCCCUAUGGGAGGUGUAUGCACUGCCCCCAGCGGUCAGUCUGUGUCGGUUCCCUAUGGGAGGUGUCUGCACUGCCCCCAGCGGUCAGUCUGUGUGGGUUCCUAUGGGAGGUGUCUGCGCGCUGCCCCCCAGCGGUCAGUCUGUGUCGGUUCCCUAUGGGAGGUGUCUGCACUGCCCAGCGGUCAGUCUGUGUAGGUUCCCCUAUGGGAGGUGUCGCACUGCCCCAGCGGUCAGUCUGUGUGGUUCCCUAUGGGAGGUGUCUGCACUGCCCCAGCCCGGUCAGUCUGUGUUGGUUCCCAUGGGAGGUGUCACUGCCCCCAGCCGAUCAGUCUGUGUUGGUUCCCUAUGGGAGGUGUCCGCACUGCCCCGGCGUUCAGUCUGUGUUGGUUCCCUGUGGGUGUCCACACUACCCCGGCCCGGUCAGUCUGUGUUGGUUCCUGUGGGAGUGUCCGCACUGCCCCGGUCAGUCUGUGUCGGUUCCCUGUGAAGUGUCUGCACUGCCCCAGCGAUCCCAGUCUGUGUCGGUUCCCCUGUGGGGAGAGUGUCUGCACUGCCCAGUCAGUCUAAUGUGAUUCCCUGUGGGAGAGUGUCUGCACUGCCCCAGCCCGGUCCAGUCUGUGUCGGUUCCCUAUGGGGUGUAUGCACUGCCCCAGCGGUCAGUCUGUGUGGAGUUCCCCUAUGGAGUGUAUGCACUGCCCCAGCGGUCAGUCUGUGUCGGGUUCCCUAUGGGAGGUGUCUGCACUGCCCCAGCGGUCAGUCAGUACCGGUUCCCUAUAGGUAAGCGCACUGCCCCAGCGGUGGUCAGUCUAUUAUUCGGUUCCCUAUCAGGAGGUGUCUGCACUGCCCCGGUCAGUCUGUGUGAGUUCCUAUGGGGAGGUGUCCGCUUUUUCCCCAGCGGUCAGUCUGUGUCGGUUCCCUAUGGGGAGGUGUCCGCACUGCCCCCCAGCGGUCAGUCUGUGCUGGUUCCCUAUGGGAGGUGUCCGCACUGCCCCCAGCGGUCAGUCUGUGUUGGUUCCCUAUGGGAGGUGUCCGCACUGCCCCCAGCGGUCAGUCUGUGUUGGUUCCCUAUGGGAGGUGUCCGCACUGCCCCCCAGCGGUCAGUCUGUGUUGGUUCCCUAUGGGAGGUGUCCGCACUGCCCCCCAGCGGUCAGUCUGUGUUGGUUCCCUAUGGGAGGUGUCCGCACUGCCCCCCAGCGGUCAGUCUGUGUUGGUUCCCUAUGGGAGGUGUCUGCACUGUCCCCAGCGGUCAGUCUGUGUUGGUUCCCUAUGGGAGGUGUCUGCACUGCCCCCAGCGGUCAGUCUGUGCCGGUUCCCUAUGGGAGGUGUCUGCAGUGCCCCCAGCGGUCAGUCGGUGUUGGUUCCCUAUGGGAGGUGUCCGCACUCCCCCCCCAGCGGUCAGUCUGUGCCGGUUCCCUAUGGGAGGUGUCUGCACUGCCCCCCAGCGGUCAGUCUGUGCCGGUUCCCUAUGGGAGGUGUCCGCACUGCCCCCCAGCGGUCAGUCUGUGUUGGUUCCCUAUGGGAGGUGUCUGCACUGCCCCCAGCGGUCAGUUUGUGUUGGUUCCCUAUGGGGAGUGUCUGCACUGCCCCCAGCGGUCAGUCUGUGUCGGUUUCCUAUGGGAGGUGUCUGCACUGCCCCCAGCGGUCAGUCUGUGUCGGUUCCCUAUGGGAGGUGUCCGCACUGCCCCCAGCGGUCAGUCUGUGUCGG